GAUGAACGCUGGCGGCGUGCCUAAUACAUGCAAGUCGAGCGAACGGACGAGAAGCUUGCUUCUCUGAUGUUAGCGGCGGACGGGUGAGUAACACGUGGAUAACCUACCUAUAAGACUGGGAUAACUUCGGGAAACCGGAGCUAAUACCGGAUGAUAUUUUGAACCGCAUGGUUCAAAAGUGAAAGACGGUCUUGCUGUCACUUAUAGAUGGAUCCGCGCUGCAUUAGCUAGUUGGUAAGGUAACGGCUUACCAAGGCAGCGAUGCAUAGCCGACCUGAGAGGGUGAUCGGCCACACUGGAACUGAGACACGGUCCAGACUCCUACGGGAGGCAGCAGUAGGGAAUCUUCCGCAAUGGGCGAAAGCCUGACGGAGCAACGCCGCGUGAGUGAUGAAGGUCUUCGGAUCGUAAAACUCUGUUAUUAGGGAAGAACAUAUGUGUAAGUAACUGUGCACACCUUGACGGUACCUAAUCAGAAAGCCACGGCUAACUACGUG
rnacentral:rRNA from 1 species